rnacentral:rRNA from 1 species
AGUCGAGCGAAGCGAUUUAAUGAGACUUCGGUGGAUUUUAAAUUGACUGAGCGGCGGACGGGUGAGUAACGCGUGGAUAACCUGCCUCACACAGGGGGAUAACAGUUAGAAAUGACUGCUAAUACCGCAUAAGCGCACGGUACCGCAUGGUACAGUGUGAAAAACUCCGGUGGUGUGAGAUGGAUCCGCGUCUGAUUAGGUAGUUGGUGAGGUAACGGCCCACCAAGCCGACGAUCAGUAGCCGACCUGAGAGGGUGACCGGCCACAUUGGGACUGAGACACGGCCCAAACUCCUACGGGAGGCAGCAGUGGGGAAUAUUGCACAAUGGGCGAAAGCCUGAUGCAGCAACGCCGCGUGAGUGAAGAAGUAUCUCGGUAUGUAAAGUUCUAUCAGCAGGGAAGAAAAUGACGGUACCUGACUAAGAAGCCCCGGCUAACUACGUGCCAGCAGCCGCGGUAAUACGUAGGGGGCAAGCGUUAUCCGGAUUUACUGGGUGUAAAGGGAGCGCAGACGGCACUGCAAGUCUGAAGUGAAAGCCCGGGGCUCAACCCCGGGACUGCUUUGGAAACUGUAGAGCUAGAGUGCUGGAGAGGCAAGCGGAAUUCCUAGUGUAGCGGUGAAAUGCGUAGAUAUUAGGAAGAACACCAGUGGCGAAGGCGGCUUGCUGGACAGUAACUGACGUUCAGGCUCGAAAGCGUGGGGAGCAAACAGGAUUAGAUACCCUGGUAGUCCAC